rnacentral:rRNA from 1 species
GACGUAGGGCGCGAGCGUUGUCCGGAUUUAUUGGGCGUAAAGAGCUCGUAGGCGGCUCGUUGCGUCGGCUGUGAAAACCCGCAGCUCAACUGUGGGCUUGCAGCUGAUACGGGCGGGCUUGGAUUCGGUAGGGGAGACUGGAAUUCCUGGUGUAGCGGUGAAAUGCGCAGAUAUCAGGAGGAACACCUGCGGUGUAGACGGCUUUCUGGACCAUUGUUGACGCUGAGACACGAAAGCGUGGGUAGCAAACAGG